GUAGGAAAUUUGAGAAGACCUGUCCUUAGUACGAGAGGACCGGGAUGGACGUACCUCUGGUGUACCAGUUGUCCUGCCAAGGGCAUGGCUGGGUAGCUAUGUGCGGAAUGGAUAAGCGCUGAAAGCAUCUAAGCGCGAAGCCAACUUCAAGAUAAGAUUUCCCACCGCAAGGGUAAGACCCCAGAAAGACUAUCUGGUUGAUAGG
rnacentral:rRNA from 1 species